rnacentral:rRNA from 1 species
GACGAACGCUGGCGGCGUGCUUAACACAUGCAAGACGAACGAUGAAGCCGGAGCUUGCUCUGGUGAAUUAGUGGCGAACGGGUGAGUAACACGUGAGUAACCUGCCCUUGACUCUGGGAUAACUGCGGGAAACUGUAGCUAAUACCGGAUACGACCCUCGGAGGCAUCUCCUGGGGGUGGAAAGAAUUUCGGUCAAGGAUGGACUCGCGGCCUAUCAGCUAGUUGGUGAGGUAAAGGCUCACCAAGGCGACGACGGGUAGCCGGCCUGGGAGGGUGACCGGCCACACUGGGACUGAGACACGGCCCAGACUCCUACGGGUGGCAGCGGUGGGGAAUAUUGCACAAUGGGCGCAAGCCUGAUGCAGCAACGCCGCGUGAGGGAUGACGGCCUUCGGGUUGUAAACCUCUUUUAGCAGGGAAGAAGCGAAAGUGACGGUACCUGCAGAAAAAGCACCGGCUGACUACGUGCCAGCCGCCGCCGUAA